rnacentral:lncRNA from 1 species
AGCUUACUAAUGGAAGAGCUAAAGCAGAUCGGGGGAGGGCUAUAAAACUAAAGCAGCCAGAAAAAAUAAAUCUGCGUGAAUCAGAAAAACUAAAACUGUAACAGCAAGAAAAGAAGAAUUAAAAGAAAAUUAACUUAUGGAUGAGAAUAAAGAGCAGAAAAUUGAAUAUAGAAAGCAGUAGCAACAGAUGAAUCCAAGUUUAAUAAAGCGGCGUAGGCAAUAGCAAGAAGAACAACAGUAGCA